UGCCUUGAUCAUGCCUGCUGUUGGGAGUUAAGCAGUACUGGACCCAGGUAGUAGUUGGAUGGGAGACCACGGUGUAAAAUCAGGGACUAUGGGUU
rnacentral:rRNA from 12 species